ensembl:lncRNA
UUUUAGGGCCGCACCCACGGCAUAUGGAGGUUCCCAGGUUAGGGAUCCAAUUGGAACUGUAGCGGUCGGCCUUGUGUGUAGCCAUGUGGGAUCGGAGCCGUGUCUGCGACCUACACCACAGCUCAUGGCAAUGCCGGAUCCUUAACCCACUGAGCAUAGGCCAGGGAUCGAACCCACUUCCUCAUGGAUGCUAGUCGGGUUCAUUAACCACUGAACCACAACGGGAACUCCCGCUGUGCAAUGGCUAUAUCCUUAGCAGUAGUACUCUGCUUCGGAGGCAUUUUUUAAAAUUAUAAAGAAUAAGGUCAAAGUACAUGAAUAGGGCAGCAAGCAGGAGGGUGUGUGUGUGUGUGUGUGUGUGUAAGACUUUUUGCUGAGUCAGCACUAAAAUCAGCCAUUUUCAUUAGGACCUUCAAUUUCUGAAAGGCCAAAAUCUCUGGAGAGGCCAUUAAUAUAUCUUUUGCGGCUCAUUAAAUUGCCCUGAAGAAGCAAAAAGAAAUCUAAAGAGCUAAACAAUAAACUUAAAAGUCCGGCAUUUUCUUUAUUUAAAAAAAAAAAAAAAAAUUUAGGUGAGAGAAACAGAAGCAUUCUUCAGAUGUUUCGACACUGUAAACUUUAGAUGAAGUCAUCCAAAAAUUAAAUCUUCAGACCUCCAUCAGCAAAUAAAAGUCUUGUGGGUUUUUCGAACCCGGUACAUGUUACAGUACAACACUUUAUACUAAAGACGCUGCUGUUCUUUUCAGAGUCAAGAUAUUGAAGCAAAAAAAAAUGAAAGCUGCGUCGGGGAACAAAAGGCCCCUCAAUCAGGGUUUAUGUUCAUGUAAAGCCCAACCAUGGGUCACGUGGUCACAUCAGAUUGACCAGACGUUAAGACGCUGAGAUUUCUCUGGAUGUACCAAGGAAGCACAAAACUACACUGGCUCUGGCUCCCAACUUAGGCGUAUUUUAUUAAAAUUUCCCUUCUCUGAAAAAUGAUCAUCCAGGAAACGCUUUAUACACUAUACUGUUUGAUUGAUCGUAAAACCUGUUCCCACCUCUGGUAAGCAAUGAUUGAAAUCUUGUUUCUGUCAACGGAUUUCGGCGUGGUGCCUGUACCAGAGAGGGUACUACAUAAGAUCCAUAAAGAUAACCUUUGAAAACAACUUGUUGUCAUAAAUGUUGUUAUGGAACAUCUACUAUUUAGAGGCAUGAAUCGAGUAUCAUAAAGUUGAAGGGCUCCCAUGAUAAAGUAUCAAAAUCAUACAAGUCAAGGUCACCUGCUGGGGAACUGUCUGUUUAUUUAACCAUCAGACAUGGAGAAAGAUUAGAAAUGGAAAAAUUCCUAGAAGGUAGGUGGGAGUAUAGAUCAGAACGGAGUUUAAAACUGGAAGGCGGAGUUCCCGUCGUGGCUCAGUGGUUAACGAAUCCGGCUAGAAACCAUGAGGUUGUGGGUUCAAUCCCUGGCCUUGCUCAGUGGGUUAAGCAUCCCGGUGUUGCCGUGAGCUGUGGUGUAGGUUGCAGAUACGGCUCGGAUCCAGCGUUGCUGUGGCUCUGGUGUAGGCCGGUGGCUGCAGCUCCGAUUCGACCCCUAGCCUGGGAACCUCCAUAUGCCUCGGGAGGGGCCCAAGAAAUGGCAAAAAGACAAAAAAAAAAAAAAAAACCAAAAACCUGGAAGGCAAUUUGACGAUGUCUGUAUCAAAAGCAUUAAAAUAUGCACAUCCUGGAAUUCCCUAGUGGCUCAACAAGUGAAGGACUCGGUGUUGUCAUUGCAGUGGCUCCAUUACAGCUCGGAUGUGGGUUCAAUCCCUGGCCCAGGAACUUUUGCAUGCCGCAGGGGCAGCCAAAAAAAUAAAUGAAAACAAAAUAAAAAGCAUGCAUAUCCUUUAAUGAGAAAUUCCAUGUCUGGGAAAGAGAGGCAGAGACAACAAAAACAUUAAAACGCCUAACAGGACUCUUCUGAUGAAGUCUGGCUAAGAAACACAAACACACCAUCCUCUGUCCCCCCUUUCCAGAUCUAGAGGCUGCGGGUCACGCUGGCAAAAGCUGAGAACAAAUAGAAGCUGAUUUGGCGUGGGCAGCUCAGCCUCAGGGACUCUUCCAAGCACAGCUGAGCAUGUUUCACAGAAGUAAAGUUUCAAGGACUUUAACCGCCAACUGAGAGCCCCUGAUACAGCUCAGCAGAUCCUGGGAGAAGGGGGUCAAGUGAGAGCUCCUGGUAAUCAGUUCUUCUGACGGAACCGGAACAGAGACAGGCUCCAAAGGGGUCAGUGAGGCAGUGGAUUUUACUUCCAUUAUAACAAAAAUGACGUGGCGAUUGAACACGGAUAAAUUCAACUAGUCAGAGCAUUGGGAACUGCCUUUUCCUUCACAGAAAAGCUACACAGACAGCACAGAGGUCUCACACCCCCUCCACGCAGGUCACCCGGGCUGAACGUCUGAGGUUACCAUGGUCUGUUUCUCACAACUAAGGAACCAACACUGGUACAUCGCUAUCAAGGCAACGGCACACUUUAUUCCUACUUCACUAGGCUUCCCCUAAUGUCCUUUUUCUGUUCCAGGAACCUAGCCAAGAUAUGCCAUGUCUCCUCUGGUCCAUAACACUUUCUCAGACUUUCCUUGUUUUUGACCACCUGACAGCUUUGAAGAGUGCCGGGCAGGUGUUUUGAAGAAUGCCGCCCACCCGCCCCCCGCAGACAGAGCUUGUUUCAUGGUUUUUCCUCGGAUGACACUGGAGUUACAGGUUUGGGGGAGGGGGGCAACAGAGGUAAAGUGACAAUUUCUCAAUAUCAUAUCAAAGGUACAUAGUGUCACCCCCACAUCACAGAUGAUGUCAGCAUUUCUUUGUCAUUGAGGUAUAGCUGUGUUAGUUUCUGCUGUAUACAGCAAAGUGAUUCAGUUGUACAUAGACAUACUCCUUGUCAAAUAUUCUUUUCCAUUAUGGUUUAUCGGGGGACACGGACGGCAGCUCUCUGUGCUACAUAGCAGGAUUUUGUCAUUUAUCCCCUCCGUGGACAACAGCCUACAUCUGCAGACCCCAACCCUUCCAGUCCAUCCAUCCCUUCUCCAACACCGCCCCUCCGACUCCCCUUCAGGAACCACAAAUCUAUUCUCCCUGUCCCUACACUGCAGCUUGAGGCAAUGCCAGAUCCUUAACCCAUGGAGCGAGGCCAGGGAUUGAACCUGCAUCCUUAGGGAUGCUAGUCAAAUUCGUUUCCACUGAGCCACGAUGGGAACUCCUCGUUUUUUGAACACUUCCUUACUUUCUGCUUCUCCUAUUUUUAUCGGUGAAAUGCUUUCCUUAAGAAAAGGGCUGUUAUGGGAAGAACUGUGUGUUAUUCACACACACACACACACAAAUUGACAUUCAAGUCCUGGCCACCAGUACCUCAGAAAGUGACCUUAUUUGAGAACAGUUAUUGGAGACGCGAUGAGUUAAGAUUGGGUCGUGCUAGAAUAGGGGAGUCCCCUAAGCCAGUAGAAUCAACGUCCUUACAAAAAGGAGCAAUUUGGACACAGCACAGAGGACAAACAACACACAGCACACAGUGACGAUGAAGGCAGAGAUCGGGGUGAUGCUUCUAACAAAUAUCCCAAAGACUAUACUGCAAAUCAGAGGCCCAAGUCUCCGUGUCCCAGUACUCAGCAUUACAUCUGGAUACGAACGAGGUUGGGGGGCAGUGUUUUCAGAUGCCUCAUUUUCCCUGCAGAGUUUCCAGCCACCUGCAGCUUGGUUCAGAGCGCUACUUGCCAGGCACACCUGCGAGUACUAGCAAUAACCACCCGUCUGUAUAAUCACCAUCUUCGGCAUGCUAAGUACCAGCUCCGUGAAAGCCAAGCACUUCCCAGGUGCCCCACACAGCAAAGCUGCGGGGCUGGCAGGUGAUUCCCUGCACCACAGGGGUCCC